AUGCUGCUCACUGUCGUUUUGGUCGUUUUUCUUUUUUUUGUUGUUACAAAAAAGGGAGGUGGAAAGUUAGUGCGAAAUGCAUGGCAAUCCUUGGUCGAGCUUAUUUAUGAUUUCGUGCUGAACCUGGUAAACGAACAAAUAGGUGGUCUUUCCGGAAAUGUGAAACAAAAGUUUUUCCCUCGCAUCUUGGUCACUUUUACUUUUUCGUCAUUUCGUAUUCCCCAGGGUAUGAUACCCUUUAGCUUCACAGUGACAAGUCAUUUUCUCAUUACUUUCGUCAUUACGAUCGUUGGAUUUCAAAGACAUGGGCUUCAUUUUUUUAGCUUCUUAUUACCCGUGGGAGUCCCACUGCCGUUAGCACCUUUCUUAGUACUCCUUGAGCUAAUCUCUUAUUGUUUUCGUGCAUUAAGCUUAGGAAUACGUUUAUUUGCUAAUAUGAUGGCUGGUCAUAGUUUAGUAAAGAUUUUAAGUGGGUUUGCUUGGACUAUGCUAUUUCUGAAUAAUAUUUUCUAUUUCAUAGGAGAUCUUGGUCCCUUAUUUAUAGUUCUAGCAUUAACCGGUCUGGAAUUAGGUGUAGCUAUAUCACAAGCUCAUGUUUCUACGAUCUCAAUUUGUAUUUACUUGAAUGAUGCUACAAAUCUCCAUCAAAAUGAGUCAUUUCAUAAUUGA
rnacentral:rRNA from 1 species